CUAACGGCCUAUCAGCUUGGAGAUGUUGAAGAGAUAACCAACGGCCUCCCAAGUCAGUCCCCAAAGGGAGGCCCUAUUCCACACGUUGGGAUGCCUUGCGUAUAACAACAUGGAGCAAUCAACCAGGAAAGGAACACAUCUGCUAAGGAAAAAUGUUUAAGAAAAAUUUGCAUGAGAAAGUCCUAAAAGCGGAGGAGACUCGUGCCGCAUGGAAAUGACUGCUUGAAACACAGAGACUUCACGAGCAGCCGAGCCGUGAUGAAUGCUGCUGCUCGAAUGGCAGUUCCAGCUCAUGGUUCACUGCUGAGAGCCUCCUCCUCCUCCUCUGAAUCCGGCCUAGGCAGCCACCACUCCCACCGGGGCAAACUGGACCGGAGGAGAUUGAUGAGAAGGGAAAGAACCGGUUUAACAGAGCUGGGCUGUUGGGAAUGGCUUCCCCGCGUUGGCACCAUACUGCCAGGCAGAAGGGCCUGAUAUCAAGGCUUCUGAGGCUCAGGACUGAGUGAGGAGCAAGCAACUUGUCAGACCAGAGAGACCAAGAGAAGGAAUUUGAGGCUCAGGGGCUCGCGGCUAUAAUUCCCGACUCAGGAAUAACCAUGACAAUAAUAAUACCUUAUUAUAAAUGCGCUUUAUAAUAUC